CGUGUGUGAAGAAGGCCUUUUGGUUGUAAAGCACUUUAAGCGAGGAGGAGGCUACUAGUACUAAUACUACUGGAUAGUGGACGUUACUCGCAGAAUAAGCACCGGCUAACUCUGUGCCAGCAGCCGCGGUAAUACAGAGGGUGCGAGCGUUAAUCGGAUUUACUGGGCGUAAAGCGUGCGUAGGCGGCUUUUUAAGUCGGAUGUGAAAUCCCCGAGCUUAACUUGGGAAUUGCAUUCGAUACUGGGAAGCUAGAGUAUGGGAGAGGAUGGUAGAAUUCCAGGUGUAGCGGUGAAAUGCGUAGAGAUCUGGAGGAAUACCGAUGGCGAAGGCAGCCAUCUGGCCUAAUACUGACGCUGAGGUACGAAAGCAUGGGGAGCAAACAGGAUUAGAUACCCUGGUAGUCCAUGCCGUAAACGAUGUCUACUAGCCGUUGGGGCCUUUGAGGCUUUAGUGGCGCAGCUAACGCGAUAAGUAGACCGCCUGGGGAGUACGGUCGCAAGACUAAAACUCAAAUGAAUUGACGGGGGCCCGCACAAGCGGUGGAGCAUGUGGUUUAAUUCGAUGCAACGCGAAGAACCUUACCUGGCCUUGACAUACUAGAAACUUUCCAGAGAUGGAUUGGUGCCUUCGGGAAUCUAGAUACAGGUGCUGCAUGGCUGUCGUCAGCUCGUGUCGUGAGAUGUUGGGUUAAGUCCCGCAACGAGCGCAACCCUUUUCCUUACUUGCCAGCAUUUCGGAUGGGAACUUUAAGGAUACUGCCAGUGACAAACUGGAGGAAGGCGGGGACGACGUCAAGUCAUCAUGGCCCUUACGGCCAGGGCUACACACGUGCUACAAUGGU
rnacentral:rRNA from 1 species